AACGUAGGUUCCGAGCGUUAUCCGGAUUUACUGGGCGUAAAGCGCGUUCAGGCGGUUUGGCAAGUCGGGCAUGAAAUCUCUCGGCUCAACCGGGAGAGGUUGUCCGAUACUGCUGGACUUGAGGGCAGUAGAGGGUGGUGGAAUUCCGGGUGUAGUGGUGAAAUGCGCAGAUAUCAGGAGGAACACCGGUGGCGAAGGCGGGUCUCUGGGCCGAUACUGACGCUGAGGAGCGAAAGCGUGGGGAGCGAACAGG
rnacentral:rRNA from 1 species